ACGAAGGGAGCUAGCGUUGUUCGGAGUUACUGGGCGUAAAGGGCGCGUAGGCGGUUUAGUUAGUCAGAUGUGAAAGCCCUGGGCUCAACCCAGGAAUAGCGUUUGAUACUGCUAAGCUUGAAUUCGGGAGAGGUGAGUGGAAUUCCCAGUGUAGAGGUGAAAUUCGUAGAGAUUGGGAAGAACAUCCGUGGCGAAGGCGGCUCACUGGACCGACAUUGACGCUGAGGCGCGAAAGCGUGGGGAGCAAACAG
rnacentral:rRNA from 1 species